rnacentral:rRNA from 1 species
UACGUAGGGGGCGAGCGUUGUCCGGAUUCAUUGGGCGUAAAGAGCUCGUAGGCGGCUUGCUAAGUCAGGUGUGAAAUCUCCAGGCUCAACCUGGAGUCGCCACCUGAUACCGGUAUGGCUUGAGUCCGGUAGGGGAUCACGGAAUUCCUGGUGUAGCGGUGAAUGCGCAGAUAUCAGGAGGAACACCGGUGGCGAAGGCGGUUCUCUGGGCAUGUCCUGACGCUGAGGAGCGAAAGUGUGGGGAGCGAACAGG